CACUCGUCAACACAACCCAUUUUGGAGAAAACCUUUUGUCACCCAUAUACUCUUCCAGGUACAAGAAGGAUGGAGGAAAGGGGGCCCUAAUUCAAGCGAAUGAUGCUUAAGUGUUUGGUGGCGGAGACUUACACGCCUUUUUCCGAUCAAUAAUUUAAUUAUGGCCGCAAACGGCACGCAGCCGCUACUAAAA